ACGUGCUGCCUUUGAGCCCCGCCCACUUGUGCGUGGCGCGGGUCAGGCUGUAGCGCUAGAGCAGUGCUCGCGCAUAACUGGGGCCGCACGCACUCCCAGGUGGCGCGUUUAACCGCGGGCGACACAU
ensembl:snoRNA